rnacentral:rRNA from 1 species
AAAAGUCGUAACAAGGUUUCCGUAGGUGAACCUGCGGAAGGAUCAUUAUCGAGUUUUGAACGGGUUGUAGCUGGCCUCUCACGAGGCAUGUGCACGCCUGGCUCAUCCACUCUUAACCUCUGUGCACUUUAUGUAAGAGAAAAAAAUGGUGGAAGCUUCCAGGAUCUCGCGAGAGGUCUUCGGUUGAACAAGCCGUUUUUCUUUCUUAUGUUUUACUACAAACGCUUCAGUCAUAGAAUGUCAACUGUGUAUAACACAUUUAUAUACAACUUUCAGCAACGGAUCUCUUGGCUCUCGCAUCGAUGAAGAACGCAGCGAAAUGCGAUAAGUAAUGUGAAUUGCAGAAUUCAGUGAAUCAUCGAAUCUUUGAACGCACCUUGCACUCCUUGGUAUUCCGAGGAGUAUGCCUGUUUGAGUCUCAUGGUAUUCUCAACCCCUAAAUUUUUGUAAUGAAGGUUUAGCGGGCUUGGACUUGGAGGUUGUGUCGGCCCUUGUCGGUCGACUCCUCUGAAAUGCAUUAGCGUGAAUCUUACGGAUCGCCUUCAGUGUGAUAAUUAUCUGCGCUGUGGUGUUGAAGUAUUUAUGGUGUUCAUGCUUCGAACCGUCUCCCUUGCCGAGACAAUCAUUUGACAAUCUGAGCUCAAAUCCA